UUCGUUGAAGUUUGGAAGAAAAAAGUUUUUUGUAAUUGCUCCACAGCGUGGACGUGAUGGGAUCAAAAGAUGAAGUGAAUUGUGAUUUGAUCACAAUUCGUUGAAACGCUUUGCGCAGUUAAACCAAUUUUAAUAUGUGUACAAUUCUGGCCUUGACGCAGAUAAAGCGUCAUUUGAAGAAAUUAAGGAAAUUAGCUUAAAAUCAUAAACGAAAACCUCCGGGAAGAUACCAUAGAUUUCUUCCAACUUUGCGAUAUAAAUUUUCCACACCGACGAAGCACAAUCGCUGCUCGCUGCAACGCGCGCAGAGGAGCGCGUGGGUAAACGUAAACAAAGACACUAACCCCACAAAAUGUUGAACAUAAUAAACGAGAUCAUGAAGACUCAAUUUUGUUACUGGAAAAAAUCAUCAAGUAGAUAUCGCUGAUUUUUGUUUCAUCUUACUCGGAAUUUUUGAAAUCAUGGCGAAUUUAUUGAGAGAAUCUGGUUUUUUUAAUGCAGUUUUUGACUGGAACAAGUGUUUCGUAUGUGCUGCUUGUGCGCUGCCCUCGCUCCAAACGAUCCUGGAAUGAAUAACACGUCGAUCGAGAGUGAUUUUCGCUUCGAGGAUUCUCAGGAUCGAACGAACAGUUCAGGAACUACAACUUCGACACCAUCCUCGUGCUCGGAUUACGUUACGGGAGACGCGGAUGACAGUUCCGAGAGCAAUUUAGUCGUACCUUUCAGUCUCAAAUCCGUAGAGGCUCUCUUAGCUAUUUCCAAAACUACUACGCAGUUGGAUCUUCUAGAAAUGAUAGAAAAUUGCAAACGCAUGGUUUUAGACAGCAAAGAAUGCUCCGAGGAGAGGAAAUGGCUGGUAAGACGCCUCAUUGAGCUGCGGCUCAGAGCUCAUGAGCUGAGAGAAACGAGCGGUGAGAAUGUGAUGGAAACAAAAGUUGUCCUCGGACAUCAUUUAGUGCCUCAGAAAUAUUACAUCGCCACAACUUCUCCGACUUAUUGUGAUCCUUGUAGCAGAGCUAUCUGGACGAUUUUGCAAUCCUGGUACAUGUGUAGAGAUUGCAGUUUUUGUUGUCACUGGAAAUGCAUCAACAACAUCAGACGAGUGUGCGCUCACGUAGUUGCCUGUGAAACCGGCGGCUAUACUUACACCAUGAAAAUUUGUCCUGAGAAAGGACUUUCAGCCCAAGCUUAUCGUUGCGCCGAAUGCCAGACACGAAUAACUUUCGCUCUCUCUAAAGGAUUGUCACUGUCCUGUUUCGGCAGUCCCUUUAGACAAUCAGAGUCUGCCUGGAUUGAGCCUCGUCUCUGCGACUAUACCGGCCUGUUCUACUGCCAGCGAUGCCACUGGAAUUCAACGGCAGUCAUUCCAGCAAGAGUUAUAAGAAACUGGGACAUGGAGCCUCGAAAAGUUUGUCGUUCUUCUGCCCAAAUUCUUGCCAUCCUCGAAGACCGACCGGUUCUGCAAUUGGAAGAAUUGAACACGAAACUUUUUGGGCUCAUUCCAGAUUUGACAUUAAUCAAGCACCUUCGAGAAGAGUUACAAAUGAUGAAAAGUUACUUGGUAUUUUGUCCGGAGGCCGACAUCGAGGGAUUGCCCUGGCGAGUUGGUUUGCGUACGCAUUUUAUCGAGAAUUCAGGCAACUAUUCGAUAAGGGAUUUGAUAGAUUUGCAGAAUGGAAUUCUCAUGGAUGAGAUCCGAUCGGCAUACGACACGAUGCAGUAUCACAUUGCGGAGUCUUGCGAAUUGUGCAAAGCGAGGGGUCAUCUUUGCGAGAUAUGCGGCAACGAUGAAGUCAUUUAUCCUUGGGAAGCGAGCGCGGUUUCAUGUCGAGAGUGCAGGGCGGUUCACCAUCGAGCUUGCUGGUCGAAGCGCAAUAAUUGUUGCCCGAAGUGUGCGAGGAUCGAGCAGCGCAUGGCCCUCAAGUCGAAAGGCGAUCCGAGGGACCUCGAAGACGAAAAUUCGACGAGCGAUCCUCACUCAAGUCCCAUUUUACGGCAGAAUUGAAUUAGCGGAAAUUUGCUUAAGGAGGGUGCAUUACGAGUUUGCGGGGCAGGCGGUGAGAGAGAAACGGUUUUGCUUAUGCACGCCAGUCCAAGCUCAUUACCAACUGCUGAGAUCUACAUUUUUUAAAUUACUCGUCGCCACCGAGCAAGCAACGAUGCGUAACGAGCAUGAGAAGCGAAAAACAGCGAAACUGGAAAACUGGACGGAAGAAGCGUGAAUCGGGAGCUCGAGAAAAUUCACAUUUCCCAUGGAGAUCCGGAGAUGGUAAAAAUUCAAUUUAAAUCGACUCGAUCGAAUGAGCGAUUCAGCUGCGAUGAACCAAGCUGGAAUCUCCGAUCACGUAAUCUCCUCGCUCUUGCUAUCAACACUGCAAAAAUAUUCCAGCUAAAACGAGAAGAAUAAAGUAGAGAAUAUACAAUUAUGAAAUAACUUUGAAAAUUAAUGCGAGAGUCGCUCGCCGAUGUGAGGAGGUUUCCCCUUCCAUUGCCCUCCUCCUACUCUGUCCUUGAGGCAGUUCGAAGAGCCUGAACGGGUCGUCGUGAAAAACCCUCGUGCGAAGGAAGAAGGAUUUUGAGGAAAACACUGAGGACCGGAUGAGCUUCUGCAUCGCUUUUGGACAAUUGGAUUACGAAUAAGAGCAAAAUAACUUAAAAACGUUUUUUUCGAAUGGACUUUCAAACCGGAGAGU
rnacentral:misc_RNA from 1 species